rnacentral:rRNA from 1 species
GCGUGCCUACCACAUGCAAGUCGAGCGCGAAUGGGAGCAAUCCCUAGUAGAGCGGCGCACGGGUGCGUAACACGUGGGUAAUCUGCCUGGAAGCCCGGGACAACCUUCCGAAAGGAUGGCUAAUACCGGAUAAGCCUACGGGAUCCUCGGAUCCUGAAGGAAAAGGUGGCCUCUGUAUACAAGCUAUCACUUCCAGAUGAGCCCGCGGCCCAUCAGCUAGUUGGCGGGGUAAUGGCCCACCAAGGCUACGACGGGUAGCUGGUCUGAGAGGACGAUCAGCCACACUGGAACUGAGACACGGUCCAGACUCCUACGGGAGGCAGCAGUGGGGAAUUUUGCACAAUGGGCGAAAGCCUGAUGCAGCAACGCCGCGUGUGUGAUGAAGGUCUUCGGAUUGUAAAGCACUUUCGACCGGGACGAAACACCCUUGGCUAACAUCCAAGGGCCUGACGGUACCGGGAGAAGAAGCACCGGCUAACUCUGUGCCAGCAGCCGCGGUAAUACAGAGGGUGCAAGCGUUGUUCGGAAUUAUUGGGCGUAAAGCGCGUGUAGGCGGCUUGGCAAGUCGGGUGUGAAAUCCCUCAGCUUAACUGAGGAAGUGCGCCCGAAACUGCCGAGCUUGAGUACCGGAGAGGGUGGCGGAAUUCCCCAAGUAGAGGUGAAAUUCGUAGAUAUGGGGAGGAACACCGGUGGCGAAGGCGGCCACCUGGACGGAUACUGACGCUGAGACGCGAAAGCGUGGGGAGCAAACAGGAUUAGAUACCCUGGUAGUCCACGCCGUAAACGAUGAGAACUAGGUGUCGUGGGUGUUGACCCCCGCGGUGCCGUAGCUAACGCAUUAAGUUCUCCGCCUGGGAAGUACG